rnacentral:rRNA from 1 species
UACAGAGGUCUCAAGCGUUGUUCGGAUUCACUGGGCGUAAAGGGUGCGUAGGUGGUCAGGUAAGUCUGAUGUGAAAUCUCUGAGCUCAACUCAGAAAUGGCAUUGGAUACUAUUUGGCUAGAGGGUCGGAGGGGGGACUGGAAUUCUCGGUGUAGCAGUGAAAUGCGUAGAUAUCGAGAGGAACACCAGUGGCGAAGGCGAGUCCCUGGACGACUCCUGACACUGAGGCACGAAAGCUAGGGGAGCAAACAGG